GUUCUCGCUUCAGCAGCACACAUACUAAAAUUGGAACGAUACCGAGAAGAUCAGCAUGGCCCCUGUGCAAGGAUGACAGGCAAAUUCGUGAAGCGUUCCAUAUAAGAAAUUUUU
ensembl:snRNA U6 U6 spliceosomal RNA